GAUGAACGCUAGCUACAGGCUUAACACAUGCAAGUCGAGGGGAAACGAUAUUGGAAGCUUGCUUCCGAUAGGCGUCGACCGGCGCACGGGUGAGUAACGCGUAUCCAACCUGCCCACCACUUGGGGAUAACCUUGCGAAAGUAAGACUAAUACCCAAUGACGUCUCUAGAAGACAUCUGCAAGAGAUUAAAGAUUUAUCGGUGAUGGAUGGGGAUGCGUCUGAUUAGCUUGUUGGCGGGGUAACGGCCCACUAAGGCUACGAACAGUAGGGGUUCUGAAAGGAAGGUCCCCCACAUUGGAACUGAGACACGGUCCAAACUCCUACGGGAGGCAGCAGUGAGGAAUAUGGUCAAUGGGCGAGAGCCUGAACCAGCCAAGUAGCGUGCAGGAUGACGGCCCUAUGGGUUGUAAACUGCUUUUAUAAGGGAAUAAGGUGAGUCUCGUGAGACUUUUUGCAUGUACCUUAUGAAUAAGGACCGGCUAAUUCCGUGCCAGCAGCCGCCGUAA
rnacentral:rRNA from 1 species